rnacentral:rRNA from 1 species
GAACGAACGCUGGCGGCGCGCCUAAUACAUGCAAGUCGAGCGAGAAGACGUAGCAAUACGUUUGUAAAGCGGCGAACGGGUGAGGAAUACAUGGGUAACCUACCCUCGAGUGGGGAAUAACUAGCCGAAGGGUUAGCUAAUACCGCGUACGCUCCUCGGACUUCGGUUCAGGGAGGAAAGCGAUACCGUGGGUAUCGCGCUCUUGGAUGGGCUCAUGUCCUAUCAGCUUGUUGGUGAGGUAACGGCUCACCAAGGCUUCGACGGGUAGCUGGUCUGAGAGGACGAUCAGCCACACUGGCACUGCGACACGGGCCAGACUCCUACGGGAGGCAGCAGUAAGGAAUAUUGCGCAAUGGGCGAAAGCCUGACGCAGCGACGCCGCGUGGGGGAGUGAAGGUCUU